rnacentral:rRNA from 1 species
CCAAGGAGUGCAAGAGGCGUGCGAGUCUUUGGGUGUCAAGCCCUAGGACGCAAUGAAAGUGAAGGGAGGUUCUGCCUCUCGAGGCGAGACGCUCCUGUGACCGGCCCAUCGUCGACCGAUUCGGUUCACUUUGUGACGGGAUUCGAGUAAGAGCGUGUCUGUUGCGACCCGAAAGAUGGUGAACUAUGCCUGAAUAGGGCGAAGCCAGAGGAAACUCUGGUGGAAGCCCGCAGCGGUUCUGACGUGCAAAUCGAUCGUCAAAUUUGGGUAUAGGGGCGAAAGACCAAUCGAACCAUCUAG